GAUGAAGAACGUAGCGAAAUGCGAUAAGUAAUGUGAAUUGCAGAAUUCAGUGAAUCAUCGAAUCUUUGAACGCACAUUGCGCCCGCCAGUAUUCUGGCGGGCAUGCCUGUUCGAGCGUCAUUUCAACCCUCAAGCCCCAGCGGCCUGGUGUUGGGGACCGGCGACCUCGCCCGAGCCCGCCCUCCGGGGCGCGUGCCCGGUGCGUCCGCCGCCCCCGAAAUGAAUUGGCGGCCUCGUCGCGGCCUCCUCUGCGUAGUAGCACAACCUCGCAAGCGUGAGCGCGACGCGGCCACUGCCGUAAAACGCCCAACUUUUUUAGAGUUGACCUCGGAUCAGGUAGGAAUACCCGCUGAACUUAAGCAUAUCAAUAAGCGGAGGA
rnacentral:misc_RNA from 1 species